rnacentral:misc_RNA from 1 species
UUUCCGUAGGUGAACCUGCGGAAGGAUCAUUAAAAAAUUGGACUCCAUUGGUGAGUUCAUUAAUAGUCCCUACCCUUUGUGAAUUUGUUUGUUUGAAUAAUUUUUUUUCCAAAAAAAUUAUUGAAUGUCUUUCCCUGUUUUGGUGGAGCUUGUAAAGUGAAACCAGGCAGGGGAAUGGCAAACAAUAAUUAUUUUUGAAAAAAGACCUUUUUUUAAAAUUAAACUUUUUGUAUUCAUUUGUCUAAAAUUAUUUUUAUAAUAUAAAAACAACUUUUGACAAUGGAUCUCUUGGUUCUCGCAACGAUGAAGAACGCAGCAAAAUGCGAUAAGUAGUGUGAAUUGCAGAAUACGUGAAUCAUCGAAUCUUCGAACGCAUAUUGCACUUUUUAGUUUACUAAAAAAGUAUGUCUGUUUGAGUAUCAGUAAAAUAUUCUCAUAAAAAACAUUGUUUUUUUAUGGUUAUGAGUGUUUUACAACGAUAACAAGUUGUUUCACUUUAAAUUCUUUGUUAUCAAAAAAAUCAUUAAAAGCUAAUUUUAAAGAUUUUUUAAAAUUGGAUAAAAUUUUCCCGUAAAAAGGAAUAACCUAAACAAUUUUAAAAAAUUAAAAUUGGUUUGAUUUUUUUUGAAACCCAAAGGAAAAAAAAACGAAAUUAACUUGAUCUCAAAUCAGAUAAGAGUACCCGCUGAACUUAAGCAUAUCAAUAAGCGGAGGAAAAGAAACUAACUAGGAUUCCCUCAGUAACGGCGAGUGAAGCGGGAAGAGCUCAAAUUUGAAAUCUUCAAGGUUUUACCUUGACGAAUUGUAGUUUAAAGAAGUGUUUUCUGUUGGAGUUUUGGUAAAAGUUCUUUGGAAAAGGACAUCAUAGAGGGUGAGAAUCCCGUAUUUGACCAUUAUCUCCAGCUUUGUGAUACACUUUCAAAGAGUCGGAUUGUUUGGGAAUGCAGUCCAAAAUGGGUGGUAAAUUUCAUCUAAAACUAAAUACUGGCGAGAGACCGAUAGCGAACAAGUACCGUGAGGGAAAGAUGAAAAGAACUUUGAAAAGAGAGUUAAACAGUACGUGAAAUUGUCAAAAGGGAAGCGUUUGACACCAGUGUUGUUUUCUCGAAAAUCAAUUAAAAAAGGCCGGAUUUUGUGUUGUAUUGACUUUAACAGCUUGCUGCACUUUUUCCUGCUUUUUUAAUGCACUUUUCGUUUAACAAGUCAACAUCAGUUUCUUUUGUUGUAAAAGGGUCAUUGGAAGGUGGCUUUCUUUCGGAGAAAGUGUUUAUAGCCUUUGGCCUCUGCAAUCGGAGAGAUUGAGGUCUGCAGCGUAGAUCCUUCGGGGUUAGAUACAUUUGUGCUAAGUUACAGCCUUUCAUAGACAACUUGUUGACUAUGAUCAGUCAUGUAACUCACCCGCUUAUGCUAUUU